rnacentral:rRNA from 1 species
UACGUAGGUGGCAAGCGUUGUCCGGAAUUACUGGGUGUAAAGCGCGUGUAGGCGGCAGGCCAAGUCUGUGGUGAAAUCGCUCGGCUCAACUGGGCGGGGUCCAUGGAAACUGGUCAGCUGGAGGACGGUAGAGGUGAGUGGAAUUCCCGGUGUAGUGGUGAAAUGCGUAGAGAUCGGGAGGAACACCAGUGGCGAAGGCGACUCGCUGGUCUUUUGCUGACGCUGAGACGCGAAAGCGUGGGGAGCAAACAGG